CCCGUCUUGAAACACGGACCAAGGAGUCUAACAUCCACGCGAGCGUUUGGGCGAAGAGAAAACCCCCGGCGCGCAAUGAAAGUGAACGGAGGUGGGAACCCCCGUGAAAAGGGGCGCACCAUCGACCGAUCCUGAUGUCUUCGGAUGGAUUUGAGUAGGAGCGUGGCUGUUGGGACCCGAAAGAUGGUGAACUUUGCAUGGAUAGGGUGAAGCCAGAGGAAACUCUGGUGGAGGCUCGCAGCGGUUCUGACGUGCAAAUCGAUCGUCAAAUCAGUGCAAAGGGGCGAAAGACUAAUCGAACCGUCUAGUAGCUGGUUCCUGCCGAAGUUUCCCUCAGGAUAGCAGUAACGGAAGAUCUCAGUUUUAUGAGGUAGAGCGAAUGAUUAGAGGCCUUGGGGCUGAAGCAGCCUUAACCUAUUCUCAAACUUCGAAUAUGUAAGAAGUCCUUGUUGCUUCGUUGAACGUGGACACUCGAAUGCAUCGUUACUAGUGGGCCAUUUUUGGUAAGCAGAACUGGCGAUGCGGGAUGAACCGAACGCGAGGUUAAGGUGCCGGAAUGCACGCUCAUCAGACACCACAAAAGGUGUUGGUUCAUCCAGACAGCAGGACGGUGGCCAUGGAAGUCGGAACCCGCUAAGGAGUGUGUAACAACUCACCUGCCGAAUGAACCAGCCCUGAAAAUGGAUGGCGCUCAAGCGUGCUACCCAUACCUCGCCGCCGGGGGGCAGGACUUGAAGCCCCGGCGAGUAGGCAGGCGCGGCGGUCGGUGACGAA
rnacentral:rRNA from 1 species